rnacentral:tRNA from 1 species
GAGGGCAUGGCUAAAGUGGCAGAGCACUUGCCUAGCAAGCAAGAGGCCCUGAGUUCAAAUUCCAGUACUGUUA